AUUGCUUCUCAGCCUUUUGGCUAAGAUCAAGUGUAGUACUUAUCACCAUUGUUGUUGAUAAGAAUAUUUAAUUAACAUCUGUUUUCCACAUCUA
ensembl:snRNA U2 U2 spliceosomal RNA